GACUAUUUCUCUGCUCCCUCUGGCUGGAUGGUGGCUCUCUUCUUAACAGCAGCUGUUACUGUAGCAGCAUCAGUACUUCUGGUGAUCCAGUGGAGAAGAAUGGACAGGAAGGAGAAACUCACUGAAUGGAGGUGGAUUUGCAGUGCUUCGGCUGCUGUGACUCUGGACCCUGAUACAGCUCACUGUGAGCUCAGCCUGUCUG